rnacentral:rRNA from 1 species
UACGUAGGGACCAAGCGUUGUUCGGAUUUACUGGGCGUAAAGGGCGCGUAGGCGGCAUGUUAAGUCAGCUGUGAAAUCUCCGAGCUUAACUCGGAACUGUCAGCUGAUACUGAUGUGCUAGAGUGCAGAAGGGGCAAUCGGAAUUCUUGGUGUAGCGGUGAAAUGCGUAGAUAUCAAGAGGAACACCUGAGGUGAAGACGGGUUGCUGGGCUGACACUGCCGCUGAGGCGCGAAAGCCAGGGGAGCAAACGGG